AGGGAUGGGCCAUGGCUUAGUGGUAGAGCAUCUGCUUGCUAUGCAGAAGGUCCCAGGUUCAAUUCCCGGCAUCUCCA